rnacentral:rRNA from 1 species
UAUACAUGCAGUCGAGCGGACAGAAGGGAGCUUGCUCCCGGACGUUAGCGGCGGAUGGGUGAGUAACACGUAGGUAACCUGCCCCUUAGACUGGGAUAACUCCGGGAAACCGGAGCUAAUACGGGAUAAUAAAGAGAAUCACCUGAUUCUCUUUUGAAAGACGGUUUCGGCUGUCACUAAGGGAUGGGCCUGCGGCGCAUUAGCUAGUUGGUAAGGUAACGGCUUACCAAGGCGACGAUGCGUAGCCGACCUGAGAGGGUGAUCGGCCACACUGGGACUGAGACACGGCCCAGACUCCUACGGGAGGCAGCAGUAGGGAAUCUUCCGCAAUGGACGAAAGUCUGACGGAGCAACGCCGCGUGAGUGAGGAAGGCCUUCGGGUCGUAAAGCUCUGUUGUGAGGGAAGAACAAGUACCGGGGUAACUACCGGUACCUUGACGGUACCUCACCAGAAAGCCACGGCUAACUACGUGCCAGCAGCCGCGGUAAUACGUAGGUGGCAAGCGUUGUCCGGAAUUAUUGGGCGUAAAGCGCGCGCAGGCGGCUUCUUAAGUCUGAUGUGAAAUCUCGGGGCUCAACCCCGAGCGGCCAUUGGAAACUGGGAAGCUUGAGUGCAGAAGAGGAGAGUGGAAUUCCACGUGUAGCGGUGAAAUGCGUAGAUAUGUGGAGGAACACCAGUGGCGAAGGCGACUCUCUGGUCUGUAACUGACGCUGAGGCGCGAAAGCGUGGGGGAGCAAACAGGAUUAGAUACCCUGGGUAGUUCCAC